rnacentral:rRNA from 1 species
GGUGGUUCAACUGAUUUGAAGAGCUUGCUCAGAUAUGACGAUGGACAUUGCAAAGAGUGGCGAACGGGUGAGUAACACGUGGGAAACCUACCUCUUAGCAGGGGAUAACAUUUGGAAACAGAUGCUAAUACCGUAUAACAAUGACAACCGCAUGGUUGUUAUUUAAAAGAUGGUUCUGCUAUCACUAAGAGAUGGUCCCGCGGUGCAUUAGCUAGUUGGUAAGGUAAUGGCUUACCAAGGCGAUGAUGCAUAGCCGAGUUGAGAGACUGAUCGGCCACAAUGGGACUGAGACACGGCCCAUACUCCUACGGGAGGCAGCAGUAGGGAAUCUUCCACAAUGGGCGAAAGCCUGAUGGAGCAACGCCGCGUGUGUGAUGAAGGGUUUCGGCUCGUAAAACACUGUUGUAAGAGAAGAAUGACAUUGAGAGUAACUGUUCAAUGUGUGACGGUAUCUUACCAGAAAGGAACGGCUAAAUACGUGCCAGCAGCCGCGGUAAUACGUAUGUUCCAAGCGUUAUCCGGAUUUAUUGGGCGUAAAGCGAGCGCAGACGGUUAUUUAAGUCUGAAGUGAAAGCCCUCAGCUCAACUGAGGAAUUGCUUUGGAAACUGGAUGACUUGAGUGCAGUAGAGGAAAGUGGAACUCCAUGUGUAGCGGUGAAAUGCGUAGAUAUAUGGAAGAACACCAGUGGCGAAGGCGGCUUUCUGGACUGUAACUGACGUUGAGGCUCGAAAGUGUGGGUAGCAAACAGGAUUAGAUACCCUGGUAGUCCACACCGUAAACGAUGAGUGCUAGGUGUUUGAGGGUUUCCGCCCUUAAGUGCCGCAGCUAACGCAUUAAGCACUCCGCCUGGGGAGUACGACCGCAAGGUUGAAACUCAAAGGAAUUGACGGGGACCCGCACAAGCGGUGGAGCAUGUGGUUUAAUUCGAAGCAACGCGAAGAACCUUACCAGGUCUUGACAUCCCUUGACAACUCCAGAGAUGGAGCGUUCCCUUCGGGGACAAGGUGACAGGUGGUGCAUGGUUGUCGUCACUCGUGUCGUGAGAUGUUGGGUUAAGUCCCGCAACGAGCGCAACCCUUAUUACUAGUUGCCAGCAUUCAGUUGGGCACUCUAGUGAGACUGCCGGUGACAAACCGGAGGAAGGUGGGGAUGACGUCAAAUCAUCAUGCCCCUUAUGACCUGGGCUACACACGUGCUACAAUGGCGUAUACAACGAGUUGCCAACCCGCGAGGGUGAGCUAAUCUCUUAAAGUACGUCUCAGUUCGGAUUGUAGGCUGCAACUCGCCUACAUGAAGUCGGAAUCGCUAGUAAUCGCGGAUCAGCACGCCGCGGUGAAUACGUUCCCGGGUCUUGUACACACCGCCCGUCACACCAUGAGAGUUUGUAACACCCAAAGCCGGUGGGGUAACCUUCGGGAGCCAGCCGUCUAAGGUGGGACAGAUGAUU